ACCCGCAGAACCGGGGCUGGAACCCGUGGAGCCGGGGCUCGAACCCGCGGCCCCGCAGCUCCGGCGGCCGGCAGAGGGCGCCGGGCCCUCAGGCACGGGGGCAGCGCGGCGGGGCUGCCCCGCGGCCCGGAGCGCAGCGACACCUCCUCCUUCCCUCCCUGCGCCCCUUUUUUCCGCCGCAGAAAAAGGGGAGCUUGCUGGAGACUUCAGACCAGCAUUCCGUGUGAAAGAAUACAGAAAAUGCAGUGGAUUAGAAGAGGCUUGUGUAUAAAAGUUACUAACCCUACAAUGGAUCAUGUUCAUAAAGGAUUUUAGGGAUCAACAUAUUCCUCGCUCGAGAAUCUUUCCAUUCUCGCUGAUAAGUGUGCUGGAUGAAGGACAUCAUUAAUUUAAAUGAAUGUCUUGUGCUUAUGUCUGAGGCUUAUCCUCGUUCACUGGCAAGGAAAAGAAAUGCUUUUUCUUCUCUUUAUUGUAACUCUGUGUGGUGUGGUCCACCAACGUACAAUGAGAGAUUUUUUUUUUUUUCCAUACACAUGUACCCCCAAAAUGUCGCCCUAAAUGAUCAAGAGGAGAAAAAAUAAAAAGGACAUUCCACACACAUAAAAUAUGUAAUUAAAAUGAUGAAUUAUUGUAAGAUAGAAUAUUAGCCUUUUGACAUUUUAAUCUGAGCAGGAGAGAGUGAGAGAGUGCAUUUGGAGCCGCUCAAUUAAAUUUAGAAUUUUUUCCCCUCCAUUGUUAUGAAUAAAUAGAAAGAUUCUGUAGCAGUCUGCGGAAUUAUUAAUUGCAAGUACUGUAGAAGGUGCAUGCACCGUAUCAUGAAAUGGAGUAUCAUUGUUAGUGACUAUAUUUCUUGGUAAUUAAGGCCCAGACUAAUGAUGCAAGUUUUCUUCAGCAUGAUUUUCAUCUGAUUAUGAGGCUGCUUCAUUAAGAGCACUCAGACUAACGAGCUGUAGCUGUAAUAAAGUAAUUUUCUGUCUUGUGCUCUGAUUGAUAAAGAGUUUCUAUAGCUAAAAGGAAUUGAAAAUAUAAUUAUAAUUAGAAAUGGUUGAAUAAAGUUAUUACAGGAUUGCUGAAGGGUAGUGCAAUUGACACCAUAAUGUUUUUUGGAAGUGUGCAUCUUAAAAUUAGACUUUAUAAAAGGAAGGGGGAAAAAAAAACAACCCACAACCCCAAACCCUCUGUGCUAAUAAAUGGGCAGAAUGUUGCUGCCUCCAUAAAAUGGACUGUUAGAUUAAAGUAAAAUGAGGUUUUCCCACAUUGUUCAGAACAAGAAAAACAUAUGCAGGAAGAAUGCUGUUGCCUUUCUUCCUAGCAUUCCUCUUAAGUGAAGUAAAGCUUAUGAAAGUGCUUUUUACUCCAUUUAUAAAAAUUUUCGUGCUGCCAUAUGUUGCAAAAAAGAUCUUUUUGAUUAAGCUGAUGUGUUUUGAAGCAUACAGUAUAAUUUCGGUGUUUCUCUUUAAAAAAUGUGCAAAGAGUUAUGUGAGUCUUUUCUGUGUAUUAGCAUACAGUAACUAGUGGGGUUUUAAUACAUGUUUUUGAACAGAGAGGUUUUCCUUUCUUUCUGUCGCUUUUAAAAUCUCCUUGCACUGGCCAAUAUCAAAAUAUAACUGGGUCAAAUACGAGGCCUUUCUUUUUUUUUCUCUGGGGGAAGCAAAUCAACUUUUUAUCUCAGAAACCUUAUUCUUUUUUAUGAUGUUCAUAUUAUAAACAGCACAAACUCUGUUAGAGCAAUCCUUUGUGCGUAUGUCAUAGGAUAUAUAUGCUGUAUUGAUAGAAAAAAACUAUAAUAAGGGUUUUAUUUAGAAUUAGCUGGUGCACUUCCGUACUCAGAAGUUGUUUGACUUAUUUAAUUUGGAGGCUUUCUGUAUUCUAUAUCUCCCUCUUUGGAAGUCAUGCAUAUAUUUUAAGGCUACAGUUAUGCACAUUUGGUUAUGUAAAUCUGUCCUAUGCAGACUCCAAGGAACUUUAUUGUAUUGGAUUGAAACAAACAGUAGAUCAUCUAGAGGUAUAUUUAUGCUAAUUAACUUAAAGCCAGCAUUUUGCAUUGAUUGCUCAGUCAUAAUGCUUUUUGGAAGAUUUUUAGAAUUUUUGAAAAUCAUUCUUAACACAUUAUAUGGUGAUAAAAGUGUGUUAUUGGAAUACCAUUAGCAGGAAUAAAAAAAGAGCAGAAUUUUAUUGGUUGUUCAUUGAAAAUGUUAGCUGUGAUUAGUUACAUAAUCCUACAUUAACCUGUAAAUUAAAAUUCCUUGGUGCAAUUUGAUGGCUGAUUUAAUUUUGUCUUUCUUUGUUUGCCGCAGGCUAAUUCCAUUAUGAAUUCUUUAUACAGCCUUUUCCCUCAAUGAUUAGCAGCUUCUACUCAAGUUCUGAUUACUAUUGUACACUUAGCACUACAUAAAGCUGGGGAUUAAUAUUCCCCUGAAGAAUUGUUGCUAUGGAUCUGCUCUAUUCCUUCUAAGAGAUGUUUCUGCAGCUUCAAUUGUCCAUAAAUUAUGAUCUCUAGUGAAUUAUCAGUGGGAGUGAACUAAGCUUAACAAGCUGAAGAGAGCACUCUAGUUC